UGAUAUCCAUGGACACUUUUA
rnacentral:piRNA from 1 species